CAACCCCAAAUGUCAAAGCUAGUGGGGUAAGAGCUGCAUGUACAUUGCUGGCUUUGACCUGCUUGGCCUUUCCUGAUUAUUUACAUUUAUUGUGCCUGUCCGUGCAGGCCAUUGGAUUUAGAAUGCGUUUUCUCUCAGAGGCAGGUCCAGAGAGCAUCAGAAAUGCACCAGCCUUCACAAGUGCUCAAGAGGAGACAGACAGUUUACACAGAAAGACUCAUCUGAAAGGAAUGUGGAGGUCAGAGAAAAGUGAUGGGAAAGUUACCACAGCCUGCAAAUGAGAAAUGAUGAGAGCCUGACUGGGGUAGAAACAAUAGAACAAGCUGAUAGAUUGGAGCAGACUGUGAGAAUGAAGAAUAAGGGACUGUUCUAAAUUUACUGGACUUCAAUAAACUGAAGGGAGGAACUUCAACGAACCGAAAUGGAGGAGUCCCUAGAAUGCAGGAUUAAAGCUCCCUGCUCCCUGGAACUUAAGCAUGGCCAUGUGACUUACAUUUGGUUAAUGAAAUAUUUAAGAGCUGAGGUAUGUGAUUCCGAUUGUUCUCCCAUCUUUUUCUCUCCUUGCCUGGGUCAUUGCAGAAUUACUUGUUGAUAAGGCUGAGCCAACACAUGUAGUACUGGUGUUUUGGAAAGAUUAAGCCAUUUCGAUUUUGGUAUCAUUUAUUACCAAAGCUUACUUUUCUUACCAUGAAUGAUUCACAAAGUCAAUGAAGGAAAAAGGGUUAACAUAAGUCAUUGUUUCUCGGAUAAGCUUGUUAAGAAAAGUUAGUCUUAGCUAUGGUUAAUAGAAAUUAACUCUAGGGUUGGCAGGGAGUAGUUUAAAUAUAAUAUCCUAAGACCUGCGGUGAACUCAUGUUUUGGCUGAGCUGGCUCUGAUAGCAGAAAGGAGCAGAGAAAGCGAGGUAAGUUAAAGCCACUGCCGCAGUUCUGGGGAGAAUGCCAUCUAGUCACUGUAGUAUAAAGAGGUCCGGUUUCCAGGAAGCACAACAAGAAUGCAACCACCUAUAGGAAGGUGAACCAAAUUUGUAGUAGAAAAAUGAGACAGAAACCCAAGUGUGAACCUGGUAAAUAUGGUAUUGUUGGAGCCACAUGCUGUAGUUUAAUGGAAUGAAAAUGCUGAACUGUACUAUCUUUUAGAAUAAAAUACUAAAAGUGUUGCAUUGUAUUCUAAAAACUCUAGACUCAAACUGUUAGACAAAUGCAACCCAAAUUGCCUGAGCAAGUAGUCAUAAAAUUAGCUUAAUUUAGUAUGCCUUUCACUUUUGAAAUUUCAUUUGGUUUUGAUAAAAUUUUAGUAAUUACAAAUAUUGCACUAUAGUAAUUAGACAUGAAAUAGUAUAGCUUGAAAGGGAGAAACUGGGUCCUGCAAUAAAUGAUCAUGUCACAAAAAUUAUUAGUUUUAUAUUACAGUGAUAUUGAAAGCUUGAAGAAAAAAAAUCCUUAGGGAUUUUUAUUUGUCUGUCAGGAAGAAUAAAUUGAUGGAGCAAAUCAUGCCACUUAAAGAUUAUGCUGUAGCAAGAAUAUUAUU
rnacentral:lncRNA from 1 species